rnacentral:lncRNA from 1 species
AACCCAAGUCCUGCCAAUGGCCUCAGAUGUGUUACUAAUGUCACAGUUGAAGAAUAUUUAGGGGCAAUGAACACAAGUAGCUGAAACAUGCCAAUACUGACAGUUGACAACAUCGUUAUCAACAUUCUUCAGUGCCUGCAAUUCUCGGAAUCACAGAAGUUUAUGGCUGGAAGAGUCCCAGCGAGGUUACCUGGUGCAGCCCUGCCAUCGAGGUAUCAGAAAGAAGUUAGCUCACCUGAGGCUUCCUAUAGAGGCUGCCGUGCUGCGGUACCCAGAGCGUGCUUCUGGAUGGCGAUUAAGCAACGGGAACAAGUUCUGGAGAUGGAAAAGAGGCUGGAGCUUAUUGCAGCUGAGGGACCUGAAGACAGUGUGACUCAAUCUUGGGUGCCUCUCCAUGAUGUGGGGCUUUGCUCUCAGGCAGUUACAAACCAUCCCUAAGCGUCUACUGGUUCCUAGCUCAGAACGUGGUCUUUUCCCCACAUCUGUGGCCCUCUAUGACCACAGAAUGGAGCCGUGUGGCUGACUGGCACCAUCGGCAGCUGAGCUUCAUGUGGCUGCCUCCAUAUCCCACCUCUUCCCUCUCAGCCUUGGGGCCCCCAUGCACCUGUGUCUCGGAGGAUUUGGGGGGCCCUGGGAGUUCCUGGGUCGACCUGGGAAUUCUGAUAAGACUCUGAGCAGCCACGCUUGCUCUUUCGCUGGAUUUGGAUCUCCAUGUUGGCCCAUGUGCUAGGCCACUGAGAGCCUUAGAGACACUUGUGUUCUGUUCUCAACAAGAAGGGAAGAAUAAAGGCCCUAAUGAAAACUGGGAACGUUUUAGA